rnacentral:rRNA from 1 species
UUUUUGAAUUAAUUUAAAGUCCAAUCUGCCCNCUGAUUAUAAAUUAAAGGGCUGCAGUAAUUUGACUGUACAAAGGUAGCAUAAUCAUUAGUCUUUUAAUUGAAGACUUGUAUGAAUGAUUUGAUGAGAUAUAAACUGUCUCUUAUUUAUAUUUAAAAUUUAAUUUUUUAGUUAAAAAGCUAAAAUACUUUUAAAAGACGAGAAGACCCUAUAGAGUUUUAUAAAUUUAUUAAUAAAAUAUUUAUAUAAAAUUUUAAUAUUUUAUUAAUAAAUUUAUUUUGUUGGGGUGAUAGAAAAAUAAAAAUAACUUUUUUUAAAAAUUAACAAAUAUAAUUGAGUAAAUGAUCCAAAAUAUUGAUUGAAAGAAAAAAUUACCUUAGGGAUAACAGCGUAAUAUUUUUUUUUAGUACAAAUAAAAAAAAAAGUUUGCGACCUCGAUGUUGGAUUAAGAUAAAAUUAAAUGCAAAAGUU